rnacentral:rRNA from 1 species
UACAGAGGUCCCAAGCGUUGUUCGGAUUCAUUGGGCGUAAAGGGUGCGUAGGCGGCGCGGUAAGUCGGGUGUGAAAUCUCGGGGCUUAACUCCGAAACUGCAUUCGAUACUGCCGUGCUUGAGGACUGGAGAGGAGACUGGAAUUCACGGUGUAGCAGUGAAAUGCGUAGAUAUCGUGAGGAAGACCAGUGGCGAAGGCGGAUCUCUGGACAGUUCCUGACGCUGAGGCGCGAAGGCCAGGGGAGCAAACGGG